AACGAACGCUGGCGGCAUGCCUAACACAUGCCAGUCGAACGAGACCUUCGGGUCUAGUGGUGCACGGGUGCGUAACGCGUGGGAACCUGCCCUUAGGUUCGGAAUAACUCCCCGAAAGGGGUGCUAAUACCGGAUAAUGUCUUCGGACCAAAGAUUUAUCGCCUUUGGAUGGGCCCGCGUUGGAUUAGCUAGUUGGUAGGGUAAAAGCCUACCAAGGCGACGAUCCAUAGCUGGUCUGAGAGGAUGAUCAGCCACACUGGGACUGAGACACGGCCCAGACUCCUACGGGAGGCAGCAGUGGGGAAUAUUGGACAAUGGGCGAAAGCCUGAUCCAGCAAUGCCGCGUGAGUGAUGAAGGCCUUAGGGUUGUAAAGCUCUUUUACCCGGGAUGAUAAUGACAGUACCGGGAGAAUAAGCGCCGGCUAACUCCGUG
rnacentral:rRNA from 1 species